AGUGAACGCUGGCGGUAGGCCUAACACAUGCAAGUCGAACGGCAGCACAGUAAGAGCUUGCUCUUACGGGUGGCGAGUGGCGGACGGGUGAGGAAUACAUCGGAAUCUACUUUUUCGUGGGGGAUAACGUAGGGAAACUUACGCUAAUACCGCAUACGACCUACGGGUGAAAGCAGGGGAUCUUCGGACCUUGCGCGAUUGAAUGAGCCGAUGUCGGAUUAGCUAGUUGGCGGGGUAAAGGCCCACCGAGGCGACGAUCCGUAGCUGGUCUGAGAGGAUGAUCAGCCACACUGGAACUGAGACACGGUCCAGGCUCCUACGGGAGGCAGCAGUGGGGAAUAUUGGACAAUGGGCGCAAGCCUGAUCCAGCCAUACCGCGUGGGUGAAGAAGGCCUUCGGGUUGUAAAGCCCUUUUGUUGGGAAAGAAAAGCAGCAGGUUAAUACCCCGCUGUUCUGACGGUACCCAAAGAAUAAGCACCGGCUAACUUCGUG
rnacentral:rRNA from 1 species